GGAGGGGUGGUCGAGUGGUUGAUGGCUCCGGUCUUGAAAACCGGCAGGGCGCAAGCCCUCGUGGGUUCGAAUCCCACCCCCUCCG
rnacentral:tRNA from 2 species